rnacentral:rRNA from 1 species
AACGAACGCUGGCGGCGUGCCUAAUACAUGCAAGUCGAGCGAGACUCUUCGGAGUCUAGCGGCGGACGGGUGAGUAACACGUGGGCAACCUGCCUGUAAGACUGGGAUAACACCGGGAAACCGGUGCUAAUACCGGAUAAUCCUUUUCCUCUCAUGAGGAAAAGCUGAAAGUCGGUUUCGGCUGACACUUACAGAUGGGCCCGCGGCGCAUUAGCUAGUUGGUGAGGUAACGGCUCACCAAGGCGACGAUGCGUAGCCGACCUGAGAGGGUGAUCGGCCACACUGGGACUGAGACACAGCCCAGACUCCUACGGGAGGCAGCAGUAGGGAAUCUUCCACAAUGGACGAAAGUCUGAUGGAGCAACGCCGCGUGAGCGAUGAAGGCCUUCGGGUCGUAAAGCUCUGUUGUUAGGGAAGAACAAGUACCGGAGUAACUGCCGGUACCUUGACGGUACCUAACCAGAAAGCCACGGCUAACUACGUGCCAGCCGCCGCAGUAAUAC